CCCGGCCAGCGGAGCGCGGGGACGCGCGGCCUUUUCCAGCCGUGGACGGGAUCAGGGCGCAGGGGUUGGCUCCGGCACCGCCUGGUGCAGCCGCCGAGAGCCUCGAGGAGCUCAGUGACCCUUCAUCGGGCCAUAGCUCCACAUGGGCUGUGCUCCCUACUGCCGUGCCCGAAGGUGGGUGAGGAGUUCUGUGACCGUUGCCAGGAAUUGGCUUCGUAACCCUGAUACUGGAGGCGCUUGGGGAAGCAGAGACAUUCCCUGGAGAACCACACAGGUCACUCACAUGGCCAGGCUGACUCAGCAGUAAGUCUACACAUGUCCAACUGCAAAUAUGUCUAACAUGCCCGAUGUGAAAUUAUAAACGUCUUUGGGCAGGCUCCCACCCUCUAGGCUUGUCAGCAACUGACAUACACAUUCCAAACCUUCUGCGCUCUGUUUUCUUUCUACACUGAAGGGUUAAUACACACAGCACAG